GACGAACGCUGGCGGCGUGCUUAACACAUGCAAGUCGAACGGAAAGGCCUGCUUUCCCUUGUGGAUUGCGGGUACUCGAGUGGCGAACGGGUGAGUAACACGUGAGUGAUCUGCCCCCAACUUGGGUUUAAGCCUGGGAAACUGGGUCUAAUUCCCGAUAGGACUGCAGGGUGGUGCCUGUGGUGGAAAACGAUUUUCUAGUGGUUGGGGAUGAGCUCGCGGCCUAUCAGCUUGUUGGUGGGGUAAUGGCCUACCAAGGCGGCGACGGGUAGCCGGCCUGAGAGGGUGGACGGCCACAUUGGGACUGAGAUACGGCCCAGACUCCUACGGGAGGCAGCAGUGGGGAAUAUUGCACAAUGGGCGGAAGCCUGAUGCAGCGACGCCGCGUGGGGGAUGACGGCCUUCGGGUUGUAAACUCCUUUCGACCGCGAGGAAGCCACCUGGUUGGAAGGGUGGUGACGGUAGUGGUAGAAGAAGCACCGGCUAACUACGUG
rnacentral:rRNA from 1 species